GGUCGGGACCGCAGGGCGGUCGACUCGUGAACCUGGUCAGGGCCUGACGGCAGCAGCCAUAAGCGUCGUCGUCCGAGCUUGUGUCAUCCUGGCCGUC
rnacentral:SRP_RNA from 2 species